AAAGACUUGUAAGUAUCUUUGUCAGUAGUUGUUUAAUUUAUGAUACAAAUCCUUCACUAUUUAAAAACUUAACUAGCUCAAAGUAGCUUUUCUUAUUAAAAUACUAACAAAUUGACCGAUUGACCAUAUGUUGCACUAGACUAGCAUCAGAUUCUUAUUUAUAUUCUUUGCAAUUUUUUCUACUCCAUAUCUUAUUUUGGUUAUUUUUUGAUAUACACCUUUAAGAGUUUAAAAAUCCCGUGAGUUUGUUAAUGGCCAUAACAGUUUCAACUCUUCUUUAGUCCUUAUUUUAUUUUAUUUAUUUAUUUAU
rnacentral:misc_RNA from 1 species